rnacentral:misc_RNA from 1 species
GAAGGAUCAUUAAAAAUAAUUUAUACAACACUUUUAGGAAAAAACACUUAAUCUUAUAUCUUCAACUAAUUGAAAAAAAAAAACUUUCAACAACGGAUCUCUUGGUUCUCGCAUCGAUGAAGAACGCAGCGAAUUGCGAUACGUAAUAUGACUUGCAGACGUGAAUCAUUGAAUUUUUGAACGCACAUUGCGCCUUAAGGUAUUCCUCAAGGCAUGCGUGGAUGAGCGAUAUUUACUCUCAAACCUUUGGUUUGGUCUUGAUCCCUAAAUAUCAAAUGGCUGUAGAAUAAGUUUUACACCAACUACUCCUUCCUCAUCUUCGUAAGACUACCCGCUGAACUUAA